UGCGGAGGGGGCAAGCGUUGUUCGGAAUUACUGGGCGUAAAGGGCGCGUAGGCGGCCUUCUAAGUCGAACGUGAAAUCCCUGGGCUCAACCCAGGAACUGCGUCCGAUACUGGAAGGCUUGAAUCCGGGAGAGGGAUGCGGAAUUCCAGGUGUAGCGGUGAAAUGCGUAGAUAUCAGGAGGAACACCGGUGGCGAAGGCGGGUCUCUGGGCAGUAACUGACGCUGAGGAGCGAAAGCGUGGGGAGCGAACAGG
rnacentral:rRNA from 1 species